rnacentral:rRNA from 1 species
CGUGUAGGUGGGGCUUUAAGUCAAUGGUGAAAUCCUGCAGCUUAACUGCAGAAUUGCCAUCGAUACUGAGGCUCUUGAGUGCGGCAGAGGGAGAUGGAAUUCAUGGUGUAGCGGUGAAAUGUGUAGAUAUCAUGAAGAACACCGGUAGCGAAGGCGGUCUCCUGGUCCGCAACUGACACUGAGGCGCGAAAGCGUGGGGAGCAAACAGGAUUAGAUACCCUGGUAGUCCACGCCUUAAACGAUGGGUACUCGGUGCUGGGCCGCAAGGCUCAGUGCCAAAGCUAACGCAUUAAGUACCCCACCUGGGGAGUACGAUCGCAAGGUUGAA